CUCGAAUCCUUGGAACCUAGGUGUGAGUGCUAUUUCGGUGCAACACACCUAUUCAAGGAUUCAAA
rfam:Nomascus leucogenys chromosome X, whole genome shotgun sequence.